AUUACUUCUUGGCCUUCUGGAUAAGAUCAAGUGUAGUAUCUGUUCUUAUCAGUUUAAUAUUUUCAUUAUUAAUAUAGGCAUUUAUAGCUUUUAAUUUCCC
rnacentral:snRNA from 1 species